rnacentral:rRNA from 2 species
AAGGACUGGUGGAGUGCUUAGAAGUGAGAAUGCCGGUAUGAGUAGCGAAAGACGGGUGAGAAUCCCGUCCACCGAAUGCCUAAGGUUUCCUGAGGAAGGCUCGUCCGCUCAGGGUUAGUCAGGACCUAAGCCGAGGCCGACAGGCGUAGGCGAUGGACAACAGGUUGAUAUUCCUGUACCACCUCUUUAUCGUUUGAGCAAUGGAGGGACGCAGAAGGAUAGAAGAAGCGUGCGAUUGGUUGUGCACGUCCAAGCAGUUAGGCUGAUAAGUAGGCAAAUCCGCUUAUCGUAAAGGCUGAGCUGUGAUGGGGAAGCUCCUUAUGGAGCGAAGUCUUUGAUUCCCCGCUGCCAAGAAAAGCUUCUAGCGAGAUAAAAGGUGCCUGUACCGCAAACCGACACAGGUAGGCGAGGAGAGAAUCCUAAGGUGUGCGAGAGAACUCUGGUUAAGGAACUCGGCAAAAUGACCCCGUAACUUCGGGAGAAGGGGUGCUUUCUUAACGGAAAGCCGCAGUGAAUAGGCCCAAGCGACUGUUUAGCAAAAACACAGCUCUCUGCGAAGCCGUAAGGCGAAGUAUAGGGGGUGACACCUGCCCGGUGCUGGAAGGUUAAGGAGAGGGGUUAGCGUAAGCGAAGCUCUGAACUGAAGCCCCAGUAAACGGCGGCCGUAACUAUAACGGUCCUAAGGUAGCGAAAUUCCUUGUCGGGUAAGUUCCGACCCGCACGAAAGGUGUAACGAUUUGGGCACUGUCUCAACCAGAGACUCGGUGAAAUUAUAGUACCUGUGAAGAUGCAGGUUACCCGCGACAGGACGGAAAGACCCCGUGGAGCUUUACUGUAGCCUGAUAUUGAAUUUUGGUACAGUUUGUACAGGAUAGGCGGGAGCCAUUGAAACCGGAGCGCUAGCUUCGGUGGAGGCGCUGGUGGGAUACCGCCCUGACUGUAUUGAAAUUCUAACCUACGGGUCUUAUCGACCCGGGAGACAGUGUCAGGUGGGCAGUUUGACUGGGGCGGUCGCCUCCUAAAGUGUAACGGAGGCGCCCAAAGGUUCCCUCAGAAUGGUUGGAAAUCAUUCGUAGAGUGCAAAGGCAUAAGGGAGCUUGACUGCGAGACCUACAAGUCGAGCAGGGACGAAAGUCGGGCUUAGUGAUCCGGUGGUUCCGCAUGGAAGGGCCAUCGCUCAACGGAUAAAAGCUACCCCGGGGAUAACAGGCUUAUCUCCCCCAAGAGUCCACAUCGACGGGGAGGUUUGGCACCUCGAUGUCGGCUCAUCGCAUCCUGGGGCUGUAGUCGGUCCCAAGGGUUGGGCUGUUCGCCCAUUAAAGCGGUACGCGAGCUGGGUUCAGAACGUCGUGAGACAGUUCGGUCCCUAUCCGUCGUGGGCGUAGGAAAUUUGAGAGGAGCUGUCCUUAGUACGAGAGGACCGGGAUGGACGCACCGCUGGUGUACCAGUUGUUCUGCCAAGGGCAUAGCUGGGUAGCUAUGUGCGGAAGGGAUAAGUGCUGAAAGCAUCUAAGCAUGAAGCCCCCCUCAAGAUGAGAUUUCCCAUAGCGUAAGCUAGUAAGAUCCCUGAAAGAUGAUCAGGUUGAUAGGUUCGAGGUGGAAGCAUGGUGACAUGUGGAGCUGACGAAUACUAAUAGAUCGAGGACUUAACCAUAUAA